GCCCGCCUAGCUCAAUCGGAUAGAGCGUCAGACUCUUACGUCUUAGGCAUUGGGCAUCUGAAGGCUGCGAGUUCGACCCUCGCGGUGGGCU
rnacentral:tRNA from 1 species